AACGUAGGACGCAAGCGUUAUCCGGAAUUACUGGGCGUAAAGCGCGUGUAGGCGGAUGGUUAAGUUACUGGUGAAAGCGCCGGGCUAAACUCGGCGAGGUCCGGUAAGACUGGUCAUCUAGAGGGGGUCAGAGGGGUGCGGAAUUCCGGGUGUAGUGGUGAAAUGCGUAGAGAUCCGGAGGAACACCAGAGGCGAAGGCGGCACCCUGGGACCAACCUGACGCUGAGACGCGAAAGCAUGGGGAGCGAACGGG
rnacentral:rRNA from 1 species